GAUGAACGCUGGCGGCGUGCCUAAUACAUGCAAGUCGAGCGAACGGACGAGAAGCUUGCUUCUCUGAUGUUAGCGGCGGACGGGUGAGUAACACGUGGAUAACCUACCUAUAAGACUGGGAUAACUUCGGGAAACCGGAGCUAAUACCGGAUAAUAUUUUGAACCGCAUGGUUCAAAAGUGAAAGACGGUCUUGCUGUCACUUAUAGAUGGAUCCGCGCUGCAUUAGCUAGUUGGUGGGGUAAAAGCCUACCAAGGCGACGAUGCAUAGCCGACCUGAGAGGGUGAUCGGCCACACUGGGACUGAGACACGGCCCAGACUCCUGCGGGAGGCAGCAGUAGGGAAUCUUCCGCAAUGGGCGAAAGCCUGACGGAGCAACGCCGCGUGAGUGAAGAAGGAUUUCGGUUCGUAAAGCUCUGUUGUUAGGGAAGAAUGAUUGUGUAGUAACUAUACACAGUAGAGACGGUACCUAACCAGAAAGCCACGGCCAACUACGUGCCAGCAGCCGCGGUAAUACGUAGGUGGCAAGCGUUGUCCGGAAUUAUUGGGCGUAAAGCGCGCGCAGGUGGUUUAAUAAGUCUGAUGUGAAAGCCCACGGCUCAACCGUGGAGGGUCAUUGGAAACUGUUAAACUUGAGUGCAGGAGAGAAAAGUGGAAUUCCUAGUGUAGCGGUGAAAUGCGUAGAGAUUAGGAGGAACACCAGUGGCGAAGGCGGCUUUUUGGCCUGUAACUGACACUGAGGCGCGAAAGCGUGGGGAGCAAACAGGAUUAGAUACCCUGGUAGUCCACGCCCUAAACGAUGUCAAUUAGCUGUUGGGCAACUUGAUUGCUUAGUAGCGUAGCUAACGCGUGAAAUUGACCGCCUGGGGAGUACGGUCGCAAGAUUAAAACUCAAAGGAAUUGACGGGGACCCGCACAAGCGGUGGAUGAUGUGGAUUAAUUCGAUGCAACGCGAAGAACCUUACCUGGUCUUGACAUGUACGGAAUCCUCCAGAGACGGAGGAGUGCCUUCGGGAGCCGUAACACAGGUGCUGCAUGGCUGUCGUCAGCUCGUGUCGUGAGAUGUUGGGUUAAGUCCCGCAACGAGCGCAACCCUUGUCAUUAGUUGCCAUCAUUUAGUUGGGCACUCUAAUGAGACUGCCGGUGACAAGCCGGAGGAAGGUGGGGAUGACGUCAAGUCCUCAUGGCCCUUAUGACCAGGGCUUCACACGUCAUACAAUGGUCGGUACAGAGGGUAGCCAAGCCGCGAGGUGGAGCCAAUCUCACAAAACCGAUCGUAGUCCGGAUUGCACUCUGCAACUCGAGUGCAUGAAGUCGGAAUCGCUAAUAAUCGCAGGUCAGCAUACUGCGGUGAAUACGUUCCCGGGUCU
rnacentral:rRNA from 1 species